GAUGGAAGUUAGGAGUACCUGACGUCGCCGUGCUAAUCCCGACCUAGUCGGGAAGGCAGGUGCCUAGGGUAAGCCUAGUAACUGGCGCUAAGUCGUAACAAGGUAGCCGUACCGGAAGGUGCGGCUGGAUCACCUCCUUU
rnacentral:rRNA from 1 species